UCUUUUUGUCUAUAAUUAGACAAAUAUUAACCCACACUUUUCCACUUUCAAGUUGUAAUAUACUAUUUGGUUUCAUACUACCAAAUUCCUUGUUAAGUAUAUUUAAUUGAAAAUUGAACAUAUCUUGAACAAGUAAACAAGCCUGGCAUCCUGAGAAUUAUUAUUAUUAUUAUUAUUAUUAUUAUUAUUAUUAUUAUUAUUAUUAUUAUUAUUAUUAAUAAUAAUAAUAAUAUUUUUUUAUUUUUUUUGGAAAGAGGGAGAUGAAGGAAGGAAUGUUGAGAAAGAGGGAAUUUUUUUUUUUCCAGAUAGAAUAAUUUACCUACUAAAAGGAAGAAUACCUGUUGAUGAAGAUUAAAGAAAGAUAUUAUUAUUAAUUUUAUUUGUGACCAUAUCAAAAUACGAAGUUGUAACAGUUCAGUCCGCCAGUGAUGUUAUUCGCUCUGGGCCUAGGUCCUCACUGGUUUAAAACACGUCACUAGAGAGUCUAAUGCAGGUUUACUUAUAUACUAAGCAUCUCUUCCGUAUUUUGUCGAUGUAAGAUUCGCCUAAAGUGUCACAGAAGUUAUUCAAACUGCCAUUAUUAUUAUUAAUAAUAAUAAUAAUAAAAUUAAUAAUUGUUCAUACGAUCAAACUUGUCCAUGUUUCACAUUCGAAGGAGACGAGGAUUUCGAACAACUUCUAAGUUCUCUCCCUUCUCUUAUUUAGUGAGGCACACUUCAGUCGAUAUUACUCAGCCUUUUUUUCCUUUUUUAUUUCCCUACGCAUUCAUAUUAGUCGGGUCAGUAUCUUUUUGAAUUGAAAUAUCAACUCAUCGCACCCAUUGUAAGAAAUACCGGAACUUAUAAAAUAGGUACAUAUGAGAUAAUACCUACGGGGACGAAGUCAUUAACCACGAUAACAACGACAAUAAUAAUAGAACAUGAAAAGGGAAAAUAUUGGAAAUUUAAUUAGUCUCAUUUGGUUGUCCAUAUCAGUCACAGCUAGGUAGAGAAUAAGGUUUUGGAAAAGAAAAGCAAGCUGUAAAUGGGAACAGUAAUGAGUAUUUCAUUACGCGGAGAAAUUUUAGGGGGCUUUUUUCACAUCUUAAUUUUAGGGAUUAAGGUUAAUUAAUUAAGUUAGCACUGGACCAAUUACUUCAAAAUGUCCUUACUUCAAUUUAGACCACUUUCACUUUUCUCUAUCUCAUAAUGUUACUCGAUUUAUAUGAUCAUAAAAAAACUUAAAAUAUUUUUGUAAGCUAGCUAAUUAUAGAGAGGGCAUUAAUUGGAAAAAAACUUGCAAUACUAUUUUCUUUUCAAGAAAUUUAGUUGCUUUAUUAUAAAACUUACUUUAGUCAUAUUGGCAAAAAUUAUUAUACUAGAAAUUUCAGGCAUUGCUUUGUUUUUAAUUUAUGUAGGUGUAAACGUUUUUCAUUUCUCAAAAUAUUAUAAAAGUAAAAUUAAAUACCAACUUAGAACAACUAGCUGGCACACCCAAGCUACUGUCGUUAGGUUAUUCAGUUGUUCUUAAGUACAAUUAAUUUCUCUAAUUUGGUUAAUCAAUGAACUGAAAUUGUCCACUAUCUAAGUUAAUGAAUGCCUCUUCAUUAAGAAAAAUCUUUUAUUGUCUUUUUAAGGGCCGAUUAAUCCGGAUUCACGCUUUAAAGUCCAUUUGUGGGGGUAAAUCGUUCUCUAUCAAAGACAACUCUAUUUUCAGAGUCCAAACCUGAGACAUCUAAUUAAUAAUGAAUCAGUAUUUAUAAUUCAAGUUUGGUGGUCAUUAAGAAAAUCCAUUACUAUAGUAAUUAAAAGAAGUAUAUUUAUAAAAGUCUAGACACUAGACAGUAUGGGCAAAAUCAGUUUGCUGCUUCUACUGGUCAUUUGUCCUUACAAAUGAUUUCAUGAUCUCAACUUCAAUUUAAAAUAUUAUUUGCAAAUCAAUAUUUAUUUUACAAUUUGGUUCAUUAUUUCAAACUGUUUUCUUAUUCAACUUCAAUCAAAUAUUGUAUAAAGUUUUUUUUUUUUUUUAAAUGUCUGCAACAAUAGUUUUUUUUUUUUUUUAAAAAAAAAAGGAGAAAAGAAGGAACAACCUUUCCUCUUUUGUACGAUUUUGUCGGUCUGGCUUUACCAGUAAAGAAAAUAUAGGAGCCAAAGAAUCAUAUGAAUAUUUUAAAAUAUGGGUCCCAAAUUCUGUGGCAGAAAUAAUACUUUUGGAAUUGAAGGGUUGCCUCUUGCCUCCUGCCGACGAAAAUAGUACAAGAAAACCGUGAAAUGGUUAAAGCUUAGGAGUCAAUAGUCAAGAGUCAAGGCUCCUCCAUUCUAAUUAAUAAGUGUAAUUUUUAUGAAAAAGAUUUUUUCGUGUUUCAUAUUUGUACUAAACUAUAUUAUAAUCUUUUUAUUUUGCAUUCGGUAUCCGAUUUGGAUCAACAAUAACAACAACAAACUAAGUGUAAUCUCAUAAGUGAGGUUUGAGGAAAAUAGUGUGUACGUAGACCUACUCCUACCUUUAAGAAAUAUAGAAGUUGUUUCUGGUAGGCCAUCGGUUCAGGAAAAAUAAAAGAAAGGGACAACAACAAGCAAACUAAUCUGUUUUGGAUCGCAAAACUAAUUCAGAUUCACGUUGCAUUAGACCGAUUAAAGGAAGCAACGCGAUUCCUAUCAGGAUGUUUUUUAUUUUCAGAGUUCGAACUCUAGACCUCUUAUUAAGAAUGGAGGAAUCUUAUGUAUCAUACCCAGCCCUUGGUAAUAUAUAUUAAUUUAUUAUAGUUAAGCGAUAAAUUGAUACUAGAAUAUAUAUAUAUAUAUAUAUAUAUUAAUUAUAAUUAAAUAACAAAACUUUAUGUAAGAGACACAAAUAUCAUAAUCUUUAUUGGUUAAUUCAAAUGCAACAUAGAUAAUUUUUGUCUCCAAUUUCUAUUCUGAGACCCCUUUAUCUAUUGCUAAUAUUUUCCCAUAACUUACGUGGCUCUCUUCCUUUUUCACCCAUGCCUUUCUUAUUUACAUUCUUUUUUUUAAUUUUUUAAUAAUAAUAUUGUCUAAGCCAGUUUGUACACACUCUUGACUAUUCAUAGUCUUUUUAUUUUUUCUUAAUUGUUUAAAUUAAUUGACUCCAACUUUACAUCAACCUACCGGUUUUGCUUUGAUUCUGGCAUUAAUACUUUUCUUGAGUUUUGACCAAUGCUGGUUCUGGAACAUGAUUUGUCGUAUGAUUUUUUUCCCUCUCCUUUUUCAUAUUUCCUGAAUAAAAUAAUUAAUCACACAAAAAAAAGUCAUGCGCAGCUGGUACUUCCAGCUGGCAACUUCCAACUGGACCGAAACAUCAUCCGACUGACACGUGGCAUAAUUGGAUCCACGCUGUUUUGUGUGAUUUGGACGUUUGGUUUGCUAUGAGUUUUGAAAUUUUUGUAAAUUAAUUCUUUUUUAUGAUUAACACGAAAAAGUUCCUUUUUCGUAAUAUAUGUGGUCCCAAAAAUUAUCUAUGAUUUUAAUCCAACUCAAUUUAUUGAAGAAAUAUGCAAUUAUAAACGCGUCACACUUGAUCAAACAAUAUUUAUGACAUAAUUUCCCCUUCUUACACUUGUUUGAACUUUUAUUUGUCUUAUUAUCAGUGGCUAAAAGAGGAUAAAAUGUUUGUUUGAACGUAUUUUUAUUUGAAAACUUGAAAGUGCAUUUGCUUCUGUUGUAAUUACUCAUUAACCGUAAGUAGCUGGAAUUGGUAAGUUGACUUUUAACCCUACCUAAAUUAUCUGCUAAAACUUAGCUAAAAUCCAUAAGACACAAUGUUUAAUGCAUCACAAAACUUAUAGUUUAGAGAUACGACAUUUAUUUCGAUACAAUAAGUGUAAGUUUUUUUUUGUUUCCACCGCUCUAAUAUCUGUAUUGGAGUCCCUGACUAAUUCAUAUUCACAUUGUUGUUUCGCAUAACAUCAUUGCCAACAAUAGUUCAUUAAAUAGUUUGAGACGUCAAUCUUAUCCAUCCCUCCACAACAAACUUCUGAUUAUCGCAUAUAAUAUCAAUUUGGGGAUGAAAUAAGAAAUUCAAAGAAGUGUAACAGCUGUUGGAAAAUUCGGACGUCCAGUGGCGUACACAAGAUAUUUCAUACGUAGUGUCACAAUUUGAAAAAGUGGACUAAUUAUCAAAUUACUAUGAUAAUAAAUGAUGUUAUUUUUUAUAUUUAUCCUUAAUAUUUUUAUUUUUUUCUUCUACAUAUCUAAUAAUAAAAAUUGGAAUGAAGCGGUGUCGUCAAUUUUGCCGCACAAUGCUGUUUCGCGUUACGCUAUUGCCAAAAACAGUUCAUUAAAUGGCCUAAGAGAGAAUUCACCCACCACCUAUUUGACAUUUUGUCACUCACCAAAAGUUAAAAAAAGGAGAUAAUUUUUUUUUCUCUCCCCAAAACUUACUUCAACUAUACAAACAAACAAAAACAAACAAACCCCACUUAACUUUAUAUUGGAACAAAGAAACUGUCUACAACCUCACCAAAAAGCCAAAAAUAAUUUUUAAAAAAAACAAUUAUUUAUUAGCUAUACUCCUCAAUCGCAGGCUGCCGGCCACAUAUCACCAACUAAUCUUUAAACAAACACAUCAUGUCAUUAUUCCCCGUCCGUCCCAUUUUAUACGAAGAUAUUUAAUUUGGCAAAAAAUUUAAGAAGCUCGAGAAUACUUUAGAUAUGUAAACUAAAUAUAUUUAAAAUACCAAAAAUAUCUUUUAAAAUGAGAGUCGGUGAGUGAGAGUUUUAAAUACUCCACUCGUUUACUUUUACUUGUUCAUUAUACUAAAAAUAUAUUUUUAUUUUUAUUUAUCUAUUUUACCAAAUUAAGAGAAAGACAAAAAAAAAAUUCUUGUUUUACCCUUAUUAUUAACUACUCAUUUCUUAAAUUAUUUUUUAAUAUUUUUUGAAAUGCUAUCAUUAUUAUGGUAAAAUUAUAAAAUAUAUACUACAUUUACUUUUUUCUAAAAAGAGUGCAAAGUCAAAAAUAAAUGAAAUGAGUAUAUUUUUAUUUUGUCUUUCUUAUAAAAGAUAAAUUAUUAUAUCAAGCGAGUUGAGAAGUUGAAGUACUAAAUUACUAUUAUUGCUAAGAGUUUUUCUUCUUCUUUCGUUUGAGGUGGAACAGACCCAUGAAUAGGAGAAGCAAAAAGAGGAAAAUGCAAUUUUGAAUUUUGUAACACUUAACCGGCUUGAGAGUUGCACCUAUUAGAUUAAUAUGAAAUUUGUACCACGUAAAUGUUUUUAGAACCAUUAGACUAUUACUCUAAUUUCAAUUCUGAAAGCUUCAUUAUUUUUGUUAAAUCAAAUUAUUGGUUCUUAAUGAAUGACUUAAUUAUGUGAUUAUAAAUUAUUCCAAAACCCUAAUGACUAGUUAUUAAAAGUAGGGGCAAAACCAGAAUGCUGGUUGCGGGUUCGGCUAAACUCAGUAGUUUUGGUUCAAUCUUUUUAUUUGUCUUUAAAAGUUCAUUGAAUAUAUAUAAUUUCUUAAUGCAGAACCCAAUAUCUUACAGGGAUUUCGACCUCGAUUCCACAAGCUUAAGCUCCCGUUUGGCCAUAAAAUUUGGGAGUUUUUUUUCAAAUCUUGUUUUCAAAUAUCUGUUUAUUUAUAGAUUUUAAUCAUUUUUUGACAGAUUUUGCAAACAAAAUCUUCAAAUCCCAAAAACAGCUCUAGAGAAGUUUUUGAAGUUUUUUACUCACAAAAUUUCAAAUUCUUUUCAAGUAAAAUGUAUGUCCAAACAUAAUUUCAACUUUUAUAAAUUAUUUUUCAUCUCAACUUCAAAACUCAUAUUUUUAAGUUUUAACCAAAUCUUUGUCCAAACGCUAACUAAAAUUCUAAGUCCGCCUUUGAUUUAGAAGAACAAAAGAACAAGAUUGUAAUAAAGUUACUACAUAUUAUUAAAGUGGGAAACAUAUAAAUGAGUAAUAAAUAAAAAAGAAAUAAGAGGGGAGAAAAUGUAGCCAGCUAGCUACUACUCAUAGAGAAAGUGAGAGAAUCUAGUGGGCUUUGAGCUGUGAUUUAGCUGUCCUUUUUUAUAUGCUGGUAUUUCUUGUUUCUCUUUCAUAUUCUUUUCAAAUUCAGCCUCUUCUCCGUUAUCUAUCCUCAAAUCCCAAAACCCCCCAUUUCCACUUCUCUCACCUCACAUUUUGCUUAAAAACUCCAUCUUUGAACUCCAAAAAAAAAAAAUCCAAAACACUUCAGAUCACAAAAACCCCAUUUCCACUUUCCCUUUUUAUACUUAGAUCUCCACUUCUUUCAUCUCACAUUUGCUUAAAAAUUCAUACUUUGAACCUAAAAACCAAACAAACACCUCAAAUCUCAAAAACCCCAUUUCCACUUUCCCUUAUUAUACUCAGAUCUCCACUUCUUUCAUCUCACAUUUGCUUAAAGAUUCAAUCUUUGAACCAAAAAACCCAACAAAUACCUCAAAUCUCAAAAACCCCAUUUCCAAAUUCCUUUCUUAUACACAAAUUUCCACUUUUUUCACCUCAAGUUUGCUUAAAGAUUCAAUCUUUGAACAAAAACAAGAUUCUUGAUUUUCAGAUGACUUAUGUGAGAUGAAGGAAAAAACACAAACACCCAUUUCC
rnacentral:lncRNA from 1 species